rnacentral:rRNA from 1 species
UACGUAGGGUGCGAGCGUUAUUCGGAAUUACUGGGCGUAAAGCGUGCGUAGGCGGUGAUGUAAGACCGAUGUGAAAUCCCCGGGCUCAACCUGGGAACUGCAUUUGUGACUGCAUCGCUGGAGUGCGGCAGAGGGGAAUGGAAUUCCGCGUGUAGCAGUGAAAUGCGUAGAUAUGCGGAGGAACACCGAUGGCGAAGGCGAUCCCCUGGGCCUGCACUGACGCUCAUGCACGAAAGCGUGGGGAGCAAACAGG